AUUGUGCCUGGAAUGAUCGUUACAGGCAUGGAAGUUGCUGAGAUAGAUGGAUCUCCAAGAAUGGGACCUACGUUUGGAGCCAUGAUGAUAUCAGGGCAAAAGGCAGCCCACUUGGCAUUGAAGGCACUAGGGCUUCCCAACGCUUUGGAUGGAUCAUACGUGGGAAGCAUUCAACCAGAGCUGAUCUUGGCUGCCGCGGAUUCUGCUGAGAUUGCCGAGGCUUAAAAAUGGGGAUAAGAAAACCAAGCCGGAAAUAAUAGCGGUUAGGAGUGAGUUUAUGGCGGUGGGUAAGCGAUGGUGUUGAUAUUUGAUGUUGGCGAUGUGAACUGAGUUUUGUUAAUAAUGUGAACUGAGUAUCUGUUGAUGUUUUGCUUAGACUUUGUUGGAAAUGGAAAUGGUAGCAUCAUUUGCUUCCUAUUAUCUUCUCUGCUUGUGCUUGUGUAACCCUAUUACCUUUUUGAAUAUUAUAAGAGAAACCUAUAAAAAGACCGUUCGCUCAA